UAACUGGUGGACUAGCAAAGU
rnacentral:siRNA from 1 species